CAGGCAAAUCCAGUUUAGUAUCAAUUACUCAGAUUAAAUGUUAAUCAGUCACAUUAAUAAAAUAAAUUAAAAGAGGGCUAGGGUUUGUUUUAAUGUGGCCAUUGGGAUUCUUAUCACUCAAACUAAACUCCUUCUCUCUCGUUCUUCUCAACUCCUUCUCUCGUCUCAUUCACCACCGUCGGAGAUCGCUCCGCCGCGCCGGGGGCGGCGGAGCUUGACCAAAUCUGAAAAUCCGGACAUCAUUACAAUCCUCUCUUUAUCCUCUACCAGAAUCUCACUUCGAUUUCGCCUGAAAGAGGCUCUAUCACCCUAAAUCAAAAAAAGGAUUACGAACCCUAGCGGGCAUAAACAAGACGAAAAUCCGAUCCAAACACACAAAGGUUCAUACAAAUAGGAUUCAUACGACCGCUUACAAGCAAGAAUCAACGACUAUUGAGUGAAGGCAUCGAGAGUAGAAGGAUUCAGGUUUACCUGGAGUGGUACAAGCGUGAUGAAACAGAAGACCAGAGAGGAGAUAAUAACUAGCGUCCAGGGAGCUUGGUUUGAACUUGAAAAUUGCAACGCUGGUAUGUGAAGCUUCAAGUAGAAGGAAAUGGAUAUGGAAGCUGCAGGGCUGCUUUUGAUUUCUCCUGGAAAGGGCUUUGGUUUUGACGUGCCGGUUUUGAUUUGAAGGAUUAUUUUCGUGAUUGGUUGAUGUAAUUGAAGCCUAGCAUCAUGUGGAAUUUGAAGAAUGAUCAUGAGGUCCUGGAGUUGGUGCGGUGAAAGCUUAAAACAACUUUAGGAAUAUGUCCAUUGUAGCUUGCUUGACAUUUAUAUGGCUCUCUGUGUAAUUUUCUAUGUGGUGUAAUACAUGAAACAAUCUGAAAGUGUAAUGGCAUUUAAACUUGUCUUGAAAAUGUAAUGACUUCUUUAAAUUUGAA